rnacentral:rRNA from 1 species
GUCGAGCGAGAAAGUGGCUUCGGCCAUGAGUACAGCGGCGAACGGGUGAGUAACACGUGGAUAACCUACCCUGGAGUGGGGGAUAACUCGAGGAAACUUGGGCUAAUACCGCAUACGCUCCGAGAAUUGCGAUUCGAGGAGGAAAGCUGGCCACUACAUGUAAGCUGGCGCUUUUGGAUGGGUCCGCGUCUGAUUAGCUAGUUGGUGGGGUAAUGGCCUACCAAGGCGACGAUCAGUAGCCGGCCUGAGAGGGUGAUCGGCCACACUGGAACUGAGACACGGUCCAGACUCCUACGGGAGGCAGCAGUGGGGAAUAUUGGACAAUGGGCGCAAGCCUGAUCCAGCAACGCCGCGUGGAGGACGAAGGCUUUCGGGUCGUAAACUCCUGUCAGGUGGGAAGAAGGGUCGUCGAUGAAUAACCGGCGAUCUUGACGGUACCACCAGAGGAAGCCCCGGCUAACUCCGUGCCAGCAGCCGCGGUAAUACGGAGGGGGCAAGCGUUAUUCGGAAUUACUGGGCGUAAAGGGCGUGUAGGCGGCAUGGCAAGUCAAGGUGAAAGCCCUCGGCUCAACCGAGGAACUGCCUUUGAAACUGUCAAGCUAGAGACCGGGAGGGGGUGGCGGAAUU